rnacentral:sRNA from 1 species
ACAGCUUGUGGACCAGCCCCUCGUGCCACA